AUGAAUCUCCUUGCCUGGAACUGUCGAGGACUGGGGUUGGACUCGACAGUGGGCGAACUGCGGGACCUUAUUAGGUCUCACAACCCAGCGGUGGUGUUCCUUUCAGAAACAAAAAAAUCAGCUAAAGCGAUGGAACGUUUGAAAUGGAGUCUGGGAUUCACUAGUGGUGUUGCGGUGAGUUGCAAUGGGAGAAGUGUUGGUUUGGCUUUGUGGUGGAGGGAGAAUGUUAAAGUUACAGUGAGGUCGUGGUGCCAAUACUUUAUAGAUGCUGAGAUCGAGUGGGAGUGUAAACUCUAUAGGAUCACUGGAUUCUAUGGAGAACCCAAAACCGAGUUGAGGAAGAAAUCAUGGGAUGCUAUCCGCUUUCUUCGGGCUUAA
rnacentral:rRNA from 1 species